GAGUGAACGCUGGCGGCAGGCCUAACACAUGCAAGUCGAGCGGCAGCGGGGUCCCCGCGAGGGGAUGCCGGCGAGCGGCGGACGGGUGAGGAACACAUCGGAAUCUGCCUGGUUGUGGGGGAUAACGUAGGGAAACUUACGCUAAUACCGCAUGCGACCCUGAGUCGACGGACUGGGGGUGAAAGUGAGGGACCUUCGGGCCUCACGCGACCAGAUGAGCCGAUGUCGGAUUAGCUAGUUGGCGGGGUAACGGCCCGCCAAGGCGACGAUCCGUAGCUGGUCUGAGAGGAUGAUCAGCCACACUGGGACUGAGAC
rnacentral:rRNA from 1 species